rnacentral:ncRNA from 1 species
CAGCCAGGUGCCCUUGCAAAGGCAAGGGGUAACAGGGAAUCGGGUGCAAAUCCCGAGCGGUCCCGCCACUGUAAACGAGGAGUUCUCUUUCAUUGACAUGUCACUCGAUUGGAUAAUCGGGGAAGACGGGAGAGUGCGAUGAUCCGGAAGCCAGGAGACCUACCUAGCUUG